rnacentral:rRNA from 1 species
GAGUUUGAUCGUGGCUCAGGAUGAACGCUGGCGGCGUGCCUAAUACAUGCAAGUCGAGCGAACGGACGAGAAGCUUGCUUCUCUGAUGUUAGCGGCGGACGGGUGAGUAACACGUGGAUAACCUACCUAUAAGACUGGGAUAACUUCGGGAAACCGGAGCUAAUACCGGAUAAUAUUUUGAACCGCAUGGUUCAAAAGUAAAAGACGGUCUUGCUGUCACUUAUAGAUGGAUCCGCGCUGCAUUAGCUAGUUGGUAAGGUAACGGCUUACCAAGGCAACGAUGCAUAGCCGACCUGAGAGGGUGAUCGGCCACACUGGAACUGAGACACGGUCCAGACUCCUACGGGAGGCAGCAGUAGGGAAUCUUCCGCAAUGGGCGAAAGCCUGACGGAGCAACGCCGCGUGAGUGAUGAAGGUCUUCGGAUCGUAAAACUCUGUUAUUAGGAAGAACAUAUGUGUAAGUAACUGUGCACAUCUUGACGGUACCUAAUCAGAAAGCCACGGCUAACUACGUG